rnacentral:lncRNA from 1 species
CGCCGAUCGGGUCUUUCUCCAUUUCUUUGUUGGGUCCUGAACUGGCUUCCUUUGCUGGGUUGCAGAUUCUUGGGUUCGAGGAGGUGGAGAGCCCCGACUUCGGGUUCAAGGUGAUAUGGCUGAGCUUGCCCUCCACGGGCUUCUUCUUCCACCUCAUCGAGCGCUUGCCGGAGGCCAGGCUCCCCGAGGGCCCCUACAGCGCGAACUCGCCGACCGUCGACCCCAAGUACCUCCCCCGGGGCCACCACGUCUGCUUCAGCAUCGCCAAUUUCGAUUCUUUCGUGCAGACCCUCAAGGUGAAUUCUUUUCUUACUCGGUCGACAGGAUGUUGCAUUUGAUAUCUUGGGUGUGUUCGAAUUCUUGGAAUUGGAGCGAUGGCGGUCGUUUAGGAGGUCUGGUCAUUGUAGUAGCCCUGAUAGGCAGAUGGGCAGUGUUUCGAUAUGAAUUAGAUUCAUAUGUCUGAUGAAUGCAGUGCUUGCGGAUGUGAUUUUGGAGGGCAUCUUGAUCAUGAUCUUUUCCUCGCGUAAGCUUUGCUGUUUGCGCUUGGAAUUCUUCUGGGAUGGUUGUUUUGCUGCUCGAUUUGUUUUCAAGUCAAUUUGGCUGCUGCCAAAAUAGUAGGGAAAGUUUGAAUUUUAGAUAGUUUGGCACGAACAUUUUGGCAUAAUGUUUGGUGAUGUUUUAUGUUGGAGUUCAGUAUAUUCUUUUACAUACUGUUUUCGUUGCAAUUCAUUUAGCGAUCCAUGGUUGUGCAGGAAAAGGGGAUUGAAACUUUUCAGAGGGCUCUGCCGAAUGGCAAGGUUAAGCAGAUCUUCUUCUUUGAUCCGGAUGGUAAGCUCUUCUAGCUGCAUUGUCCCUCAGUGCCACUGGAUUGACAUCUUGGCUUCCUCUGCGAAACUAUCUUCUAAUAAACAAUAGAAUCAGUGAGUUGUGCAUUCCUGUUUGGGAAAUAAUUUCCAUGCAUCUUUCCGUGUGCAGGUAACGGCGUGGAGGUUGCGAGCAGGGACGAUCCUUGAUUCGUGGUAGCUGUUCGUCGAAUGCAGAGGAGGUCGGGAUGUGGUGGUUUGUAUGUGAGAAACUAUUACAAGACUCGUGAAAUAGAAUAAGUAGUACCCAUGACCGAUCAUCCUGUGAACACAAUUCUAUCUUUCGUGAUCCUGAUUCGCAACACAAUCUGAACUUGAUAUUUGUAUUGCUCUAUGAUCACUUGCGGUUGUGCAUCAUGCUGUUUCAGUGCAACCAAAACCAAAAUCCAUUACAAAUGAACAAGUAUGAUCCCCUUGUGGUGGACAUAUCAUGCUGCCAAAACAUCAAAUUGCUGAUUCUUACAAACUCUGUUUGGAAAGUUAUGAGAAUGGGUAGGAGGCUCGUGGGAUUCCACGGGUAGGGAUUAUUAAAUUAUGACUCGAGUUUGAUUACAAAAGAGGAAAUAAAGAAAGAAUAAAAUAGAUAUGAAUUUUCUGUUUGCCGCGGAAUCCGAAUUGAAGAAGAAGAACGAAGCCAUGAAAUCCCCUACACGUAGAUGGAGUCCCCUGCGCGUGAAGAAGGCAAAAUCGUGGUGUGCCCAGGUCAAAGUUUGACCUGGGCGCACACACACGUAUAAAACAGAAUUUUUGUUUUGCAGGUGGUCCUCUUUCGUCCGUGAGAAGCGGCCGAGUUCUCUGCCACGUGAAGCCAAAAUAGGAAGGUGGCGCGCACACACGUAUAAAAGGAAUUGCAGAUCUUUCUUCUUCUUGGCCGUUCAAAGUCCGCCGAAACCCUACGAGAAAUAAAGAUGUUUAAAGUCCACCAAAACCCUACGAAACCCUACGAGAAAUAAAGACCGAAACCCUACGAGAAAUAAAGAUGUUUAAAGUCCACCAAAACCCUACGAGAAAUAAAGACGCCGCUGCAACUUUACGUAGAAGGGAGCCGCGAGGAUUCUGAAGCCGCCCGUGUGAACUUUGAUUAACUCGCGGAGUCGUAUGUAGAGGUUUUUUGUUGCGUGGUAAUUUUGUGCCGUGAGUUUAUAUCAAAUUAAGUUAUUUAUUUAUAAAUACUUUGGCUUUGAGUUAAAUCUAGGUGUAGAAAACACUUGAGCAUUUGAGUGAUUGUAAACUCUGUUAUCCGAUUAUAGUGGAUUAUUUGUUGUUGGCUCUCUCCAUAGACAUUGGUAUCGAUACUCGGACCGAAUCACGUAAAUUUAUGGUGUCCUCACUUCACGUUUAUUUUCUCUGGUGAUUUCGCGUUAACAUAAAUUGCAAGAUUCUGUCAUUUACAGGAAUUAUAUCAACAAUAGAGAUGGCUAUAUUUCCAGGAAGUGUUUGGCCUGCCUGUGCCCAGAAAGAAAAGGGCUAAACUUCAGUUCUUCCACUUUAAUUCAUUGAUUCGUUGAGAUAUAAGUUUGUUUAUGUCACAAGAAGUUAGGGAUACAACGGAAGAUCCCAUUUUGAAAUCUAAGAUCCAGAGUUAUGGAAUUUACUCAUUCAUAAUUUGUUUGGUUGAGAAAACAAACAUAAUUUCUUCAUCACAUAAUAUUCGAUAAGAUAUAUAAAGGGUGGGGUGAGAGAAUUUGAGGAGAAGAAUAUUAAGGGGCUGUUUGGUAACCAUCCAAAUAGUACCCGAUUCUGAUUUUUUGUUUUUGGAAGUAGUUUCGGAACAGAAUCAUGUUUGAUAAAAUUUUUGUUUCCGAGAAUAAAUGUGUUCCUAGAAACAAAUUUAGAGUAGAAUCAAGAAUUAAAAAAAGAGAGUUGAUUCUUUAUUCUCAGGAAUAAUUCUAGAAUUAAAUCUACAUAUUUUUUUCCUUUUCUUUCUUCUUUUAUUAUUUUUUCCUCUCUUGUUCUUCAAGCGCCAUUGCCGUCUGCCACCGCCCCCUCGCCGAAUGUCGCCGUCCGCCGCCCACUGUUGCUGGUUGUCGGCGAGCUCGCCGGAGGUUCACUCAGCUGCCGGCAAGGCCUGGCGAGCUCGUCGACGCCUUGCCCAGCCGCUGGCGAGGCCUGGUGAGCUCGCCGGAGGCUUGCCUAGCCGUCAAUGGGCCUCCCUCGGCCACUGGCAAGCCUCGCUUGGCCGAGCAAUGCUCAUCAAGGGCUUGCCGAUAUGGCUGUUGCUGUGUUUGAGAAAAUGCUGUCAAGUUGCAGUGAGAUGAUACCAAAUUAUGUGACCUUCGUGUGUUUAUUGACAGCUUGUAGUCGAGCAGGAAAUGUAGAGCUUGGUAUGGAUAUCUUCGCAUCAAUGAGAAGAAGACAUGCAAUUGAACCUGGGCCAGAGCAUUAUGCAUGUAUUGUGGACCUGCUAGGGCGGGCUGGCAUGUUAAAGCAGGCAUAUGACUUUAUCAUGAAAACGCCAUUUCGACCCACGAUAUCAAUAUGGGGAGCCCUCUUAGGGGCCUGUAGGAUCCACAGGAAUCCAGAACUUGGUAGAAUUGCAGCUGAAAACUUAUUUCAACUUGAUCCAAAAGACUCCGGCAAUUUCGUGGUUCUUUCAAAUUCAUUGGCAGCUGCUGGAAGGUAAUUUUAUCAUUUUAAAAUAAUGGUGGAACAACUGUUCUAUUUUUAUUCCUCAGAAAGUGUUCUAUAAUUAUUUUUAAACUCGCAUGUGCAUAUUCAUGUAUAAAGCAGACAGAAUCACGGGCUGUUGCUAGUGAAGAUUUCUUUCUUUUCUCGUAUGGAAAUGCUUCAGGAUAAGUGGCAAACUGUGGAGUUUUGCCUAGUGAAGAUUUAGAAUCCUACUGGCAAUGUUCACACUUUGUUUUAUAUGUAUUUCUGCUUGAGGUUUUGAUGGAGAUAUCGGAAGAUGUUAACUUUCCCUCUGUGUGAUAUCUGUGGGGGCACACUUUAUUUCAUCAGAACCGCUUUCUUGUUUGUGCUUCCUACUAGAUUCAUCAUUUCUACACCCUAAAGGAACGUUUUGAUAUGUUAACUAAUGGCGCUCCAAUUUUAUCGAAUAAUGCAGAUGGGAGGAAGCCACCAAUGUGAGGAAGGAGAUAAAGGACAUAGGCCUGAAAAAGGGUACUGGCUGCAGCUGGAUUGCUGUGAAGAAUGAAGUCCAUAUUUUCCAAGCGAAGGAUACUUUUCAUGAAAGGAACUCCGAGAUUCACGCGACUUUGUUGGAGCUAAAGAGGGAUAUGGAAGAGGCUGGCUACAUAGCCGACCCGACCAACGCGCUGUAUGACUUGGAGGAGGAGGAGAAAGUCUCAGAAGUGUGGCUGCACAGCGAGAAGAUUGCCCUGGCCUUUGGCCUCAUUUCUAUCCCCCCAGCAGUUCCAAUUAGGAUCACGAAAAAUCUUAGAAUGUGCGGAGACUGUCAUAGCGCCUUUAAAUUCAUUUCACGAAUUACUGGGAGGGAACUCAUUGUGAGAGACAAUGCCCGGUUUCACCAGUUCCUAGCCAGCCGCUGUUCUUGUAAAGAUUUUUGGUAAUCAUCAUUCUUUCUUAACAAUUCCUGGAUCAAGUUUAUUGAAUGUGGUCAUCUAAGAGAGAAGAUUCCAAAGUUGUACUCUCCUUCCAGUUUUUUCUUGGAUAUAUCUCUGCCGAAGAAAACUUUCAGCCUGAUUUCUCAAGAAAGAAACCUUUGAGAUAUGCGUACCUGGUGAGAAUCUAAGCCAUUCGCUUUUCGGCAGUUUUAUUCUUCAUCUCCAUAGUGGGAUUAUUUUAGCAUUGGACAGUCUGGAUCUCUCGCAUGACAGCUGAUAUAGAGUUCGCCAUGAUCUUCUGCUCAGCAGCCACUUGAACUUUCGCCAAAAUUCAUUGACUGGAGGUCUCAAGCAAGUUCGGCUUUCUUGGUUUGUUCAUCUAUUUCUUGCACAAGAGAUGACUUGGAAUUUAUCUGAGAUUGCGAUUCUCCUGUUCUCUUCUUCAGCUCAUUGAACUCUCUCCUGAUGGAAGAAACCUUGUCCUUCAUGGCUUGAAGAUCUCCGAAAAAUUUGGUGGCCUGCUCAGCAAUUCCCUUAGUGUGCAGAAAAACCUCAUGUGCUCUGGAAAAUUUCUUUGAGUCACUUCAACUUAAGCAAUUGAUCGACAGUCAAGAUGGGAUCAGUUGCAAGUUUCUCUACCUAAAAAAGUAAUUACCUCUAGGCACCCUGGGACAAUAAGCAUGAGAAAUUCAGGGCAAGAAUGGAAGAAAGUUUCUUGCACAUUUCCUCUACCACAUUACAGCCUACAUAAGUGAAAGGAGUCUGCACCUGAGCUUCAUGAUUGUGCUGAGAAAGAAUAUGUUCCAAAGACUUCAGAUAGUCAUCAACAUCUUCUUCACACAAUUGAGCAUGAAGUUCCUGGACACUUCGCACAUCUUGUGCCUCGUCCUUGGAAGCAUAGCAACUAGAACCGAUACUUUAGUCAAGAGCAAUGUCCUCAAGAUCAAUGUGCUGCUCAAAGCCACAUUUCCAUUAGGGAACACAAGUCAAUUACAGUCUCGUCAUUUUUAGCAUUGGCUUGAGCUUGUAUAUUCUAAGAUUGUUGUGUGUGCCUCGGGAAGGCUUGUGCCUAUACCUAGGUAAAAUUUAUUCUGUUUAUGCAUCACUUGUGGUUUUAUAAUCUUCUUGUUCUUUCACGUCUCUGCGAUCUCCUCAUCAUUUUCAACUCUUUGCAUAAAGGUCUAUUUUUACUGGCCUUCUUCAUAUAUUUUCGACUUUAUGUUGGUGUUUUAGAUUUUUUUCUACAUGGAAACAAGUGCUCAGGUUCUGAACUUGUUCCUCACAUUGGAUUUGCGGGGAUUUUUGUUUAUCGUUACUGUUCUUGACAUUCUGAACUUGAAUAAUGUCCCUCUUACUGGUGAUUAUCUUGCUAAAGUUUCAAUCUUUCUGCUGAACCAGUGAAUUGGGGUUUCUGUCUCUUGCCUUUUGAAAGCCUGUUUUAACAAAAUACCUGAGUGGAAAAGGAUAUUUUGAUGAUAGGAGCUAGUUAUGUGAUUGGGUAUUGAAUUUUAGCAUUAUGCUUGUUGCGUUUUAUGUUGUUCUAAGAUGGCUUUUUUUUUUUUAGCUAGAUCGUUGUGCUGCUAGCUCGCAAGCAUUAUGAAGAAGGGCAAGCAAAUAAUGGGAAAUGAAGUUCUGGGUGAGAAGGCAGUGAAGAUGAACAAUCUAUGCCUAUACCCUAUCAAACCUAUUCGUUCGGGUGAAGGUUUACCUUAUGCUCCAGUAGAUUGGCCAAAUCUUGGCGAUAUUUGGUAUUGGUGGCUUGGCAAUAGGACCUAUCAUUUUGGAUUUUAUCAAGACAGGUUCUUAUAUCUUCCAAACCAUCUCUGUGUCAGAGGCCUUAAUUGCGGGCAAGUCUUUGCUUAAAUGCUAUCACUUUGCAGUUUCCGAACUCAGAUGUCAAUGAGAUCUUAGCUUCUUUUAGCUGGAUGAUUUCCUCUACGAGGCAAUAGGCAUCACUAGACGAAGGUGAGGAUUAAGUAUUAAAUAGCUUUCAUUAUCUUGUUAUUGACCCAUCAUUCAAUUUGGAAGUCCGACGUUUCAGCACAUGGAAGGUCUACUAUGGUCAUAACGUUUGAAUAAGCUCUAGUUUCGGAUUGCAUGAUCUGUUCAUCUCUUUGGUCAGUUAUGGCUUUUGACAAUGAUUUAAAAAAUAAAUUGGUUAUGAAGUUGGAUCUUUAUGCAAUAGAAGACGCUACAAGAAAAAGGAAAAUUUUAGACGAGCCCAAAGGAGCAUAAAAAGUUCAGAAAUGCCCAGAUCUAUCAGAUAAAAAUUAGUAAUAUUUAUCACAGAGGAGAAGGAUGAGCCCUGCCCUAGGUUAGAAGACAAUAAGUUGACAAACUACAAGCUAUAAUCUUUAUGUUUACAUUUUGCUAUCAGCAUCGAGAACAACCAAAUAUGUGGAGUUUCAGAAUACUCCAACGGCCCUGCUAUUUCUAUUAAGGGAAUUUGGGUCAAGUAAGAAUUCCAGCAUUUCUUCUAGUGGGGAAGUGCUUUAAAACGAACGUUUCAGAUUUGUUUUACUAUGCCACCUGUAAUCUAGGGAACUACUAGUAAAUAUCAUUGAGGCUUAGAAAAUUUAAGGACUCGAUAUACUGUCUUUUCCAGAUCAAUUUCUAGAGAAACCCCUUUUUGUUCAUUUGCCACUUUUGAUGGAAAACCCGUUUAUGUACAGAUCUCCAGUUGAGACUAGCAAAAUUUAAUUUCAACUUCUUGGUUGUCCUGAUGUUUAGAAAAGUACUGGCAUUUUGUUCUUAUGUAGUUAUUUUUGGAUCACCCUGACAUGCAGAUGUGCAUAUAAAAAGCCCCUUAUAAUUCCAGGAGGAUGAAAAAAGUGAGACCAGCUAUGUCACAAGCCUUCCCUAGGUGCAGAACGCUACAAUCUUACAAAAUACCAGCUCAAGCCAGCAUUAGAAAUGACGAAUCUGUAAUUGACUUGUGAUCCCUAAUGGAUGAUAGCACAAGCGAAGUGGAUAUUCAAUUGUGGCUCUGAGCUGCAAAUUGAUUUUGAGGAUGUUGUUCUUGACUAAAGGAUUUCGAGGCACAAGAUGUGCAAAAUGUGUAAGAGAAGAAAAUGUUGAUGAAUGUCUAGAAGUCUUUGGAACACAUUCUUCCUCAGCACAAUGAUGAAGCUCAGGUGCGGACUUGUUUCACUUACGUAGGUUAUGAUAUGGCGGAGAAAAUGUCUACUCAUUGCAAUAAGUUUUCUUUGAUUCUUGCCCAGGAUUUCUCAUGCUUGGUGUCCUCAAAGUACUUGAAAGAGAUUAGAAUUCAGUAGAGAAGCUUGUGAUCGAUCCCAUGUUGACUGUUGAUCAAUUGCUUAAGUUCAAGUCGGUUGAAGAAAUAUCCAAAGCAGUUGAUGUUUUUCUAUGCACUAAGGGACUUCAGGAGCAAGAGAAUUGCAACCUCUAAGUCAUUUCUCAUGUGUGAAAUAGAUGAACAAAUUGCACAGCUUUAAUCCAAGAAAGCCGAACUUGCUCAUGACCUCGACUCGACGAGGUUGCUGAGCAGAAAAUCAUGGCAAACUUUAUAUCAGCUGUCGUGUGAGAGAUCCAGACUGCCAAUGCUGAAAUCUCACAUCUACCAUGAAGAAGAUAAAACAAAUAUUUAUAUAUUAUAACUUUGUUUAAAGUACUUUUUUUUUCGAUGUUCAAGAUUACCCCUCAGGCAUUUGUUGAGGGUCAUUCUUCGCACUUUGGAAUAACAUGUCAAAAUUUAAAUAUAUUCUUUUUUAAUUUUCAAGACUUGCAAAUGUGCUUAUUAACUUAAUUUUGUAGUCUAAGCUAAUGACUCAUGCGACACUUGUUGACAAGAUUUUCUUUAUUUCUUGCUCAAAUUAAGUGACAAAAGUUUCAUUUAAAUAAUUUUUUUUACCUUAAAAAAAAUAGUAGCAUACUUAUGUUUUAGAUAUAGCUUUCGAGAUUCAACAAUGCCCGCCCUUUCUACACAUCAAAAAGCCACUAAAUGUAGAAUGAUAGUAAAAAGGUUCAAUUUACAAAAUCCAAUUAAUUUGACAUUAUUAACGUUCAACUUACAAAAGCUAUUUGAUAGUGAACUUAAUUUUUUUUACGUUAAUAAAAAUCAUUGAAUUGAAAAAAAAAUGGCCAAACCACAUGGGUUUUAUACAUCGUUUAAGAGCCCAUAACCAAGGUAUCGUAUCAUGUGAUUUAUCCCUAAGAUGCCGUGUGGCAGGUGUUCUUUCCCAUUAUUACAGCUCCUGAAUUUAAGUUCAUUGUGCGAUGUUGUUCUUUGAUAUAGAAUUUUGUUUGGUGUGAUGAUCCUAUAUAUCGGUAAAUCCUUAAUACAGCCCCUUUUUUUUUCGCCCAAAUGACGAAUCGGGCGUUGUUCUUACGGGGUGGAUUAUUACGUGUCGACUUGGAGCGAUACUUGGUAAAUCGGUAGAGCAAAUGAAAAGCGAGGUGUGGAAAAGCGGAGGACAUCGCGGACAGAGGGUCGCUGUCGGUUCGUGGACUGGGCACCGUCAUCAUCCACCUGACGCUUCAAACAUCAGUCCAACCAUCCAUAAUAUAGUACAACUCUCAUUCAUUGAUCUUAACAAAAAAACUAUAUGAUUAAAAACUCUGGUGACCUCGACAUGAUCAUCAAUCAUCUUCUUGACAAAGCGAAGCAAAGCAUCUUCCAAACAAUCCAUCCAUUCCAUCCAACCAUCCAUCAUCAACAUCAGCAUCUUCUUCCUCCAUCAAGAACAACGUGAACAAAGAGCCGCCUCCUCCAUUAUUGGUGAGGGAGAAACGCCACCCACCCCACCCGCAAAAAAUUCAUCAAAUACACACAAAUCUCACACUACUUGUUAAAUGUUUAAUUUUACGCAUGGUAUCCAGUCUAUCAAGUACUCGAAAGGUUUAAGUUCAACGAGCUUAUCAUUACAACUCCAACAUCUACACAAAAAUUGGAAAGUCUUUCUACAUACAGGAACAUAUAUCCAAGCAUAUUACUCAUGAAAAAUGGUUUACACCAAUAAACUCAUGGAAGCUAGUUGACUCAUUCAGCAUCAAAGUAUCACGAUCAAUAUUGUUCAAAUCAUUCGGUUGAGAAAUUGAAAACCAAAUUCAAAAGUAAUGUUUUGAAUAGAUGUGAUCAAGAGCUGAUGGUCGCCCCUGAGCCCGUCGAGGCACCCUCGAGCCAGGCGGGCAUGAGGGGCACCAUUGGACAGAGCUUGGACAAUGCCAUUCAACAAGAGAUUCUGACCCGACCUGACCCGACCCGCAGCAUCGAACAUCACUCGUUCAAGGUGGGCCAAGAUCUUGACAACUCAUCAAAACCCUGUCCUUUUCUUGAAAAGAUGUCGUUUAAGGUACCAAAAAAGCACUGAAACACCAAUAAAAGAUCAGGAAAGAACGAGGAAGAACAAAAGCCCGAGCGUCUUUCUGAUUCACUCUCUCCCAUUCACUUCCUCACCGGACCAGAAACCGACAAACCAUGGCGGCGAAGGGAGCGUGCCUCAACCACGUCUCGCGCGAGUCCUCCGACAUCCGGCGCUUGGCCGAGUUCUACAAGGAGGUCUCUCCCCCCGCCGAUCGGGUCUUUCUCCAUUUCUUUGUUGGGUCCUGAAUUGGCUUUCUUCACUGGGUUGCAGAUUCUUGGGUUCGAGGAGGUGGAGACCCCCGACUUCGGGUUCAAGGUGAUAUGGCUGAGCUUGCCCUCCACGGGCUUUUUCCUCCACCUCAUCGAGCGCUUGCCGGAGGCCAGGCUCCCCGAGGGCCCCUACAG